rnacentral:lncRNA from 15 species
AUUUUUUCUCAAUAAGAUGAAAUCCUUCCUCAGCUUUCUUUUUUAAAAUAAAAUAUCUUCUGUUCUUUCUUCUCUGAUUCUCUUGUAGGCCUGCAGCACAUUGUUGAAUGUGUUUGUGUCGGACUGAACGAGAAGAGAUACUACCUCUGCACGCUCUGCAAACUCACUUUGGCCGCCCACAUGGUCAUCAAACACGUCCUGAGCUUUGACCACAUCUAUUGUUACUUUAAAGCGUGGCACCCCUCUACUCUGCUGUCAAAGGAAUGCUACAAGGAUUACAACAAGGCCUUAACCUCCAUGAUACUUGAUUUUGCCAAGCAGACAGAGGAGAUUCAUGGCACUGCAAACGCUGAUAUGAAGCAAGUGAGCCUGGAGCCUGCCAAAUUCACCUCAGUGAAUUUCACUUGUUAUGCAGAAGCUUUGAAGGAACUGGAAUCCAUCACAAAGGAAAACAAGGAGAGCAGCUUGAUUACGAGCAUCAAACCAGGGAAGAAACUAGAGCGUCUUGCUGUGUCAGCUUUGAAGGAACUGGAAUCCAUCACAAAGGAAAACAAGGAGAGCAGCUUGAUUACGAGCAUCAAACCAGAGAAGAAACUAGAGCGUCCUGCUGUGUCAGCAACUUCUGUAGCAUUUUUGUGCAAACUAUGCUGUCAGGAGUGCAAUGUGAUCUUUGAGAGGACAGCUCAGUAUUUCAAACAUGUGUCACAGAGAGAACACAAAGAGAUGUUGGAGAAAUUCUUUGUCAAAGAUGAAAGUGACGAUGGUUGUGCCCAAACAGUUAGGAAACCCAGACUGGGCUUCUUCAAGUACCUCAAAGAGAGGUCGGCGCAAAAUCAACCAGCUAUUGGUGUAUCCCUGGUUGUGACGUGUGUCAGCACUCAGGUUCAGGUGGAACCUAUUUACGUGUGCUUUGCAUGUAAGGACUGUUUCCCUGAUUCCGUUGUCAGACAACACUUCAACUCUCGAAAACAUCUCAUAAACACAAUGCUGUAUCAGAAUCCCUGGCGGCUCCCUUUUGGCUGGGAGAAUCGCCUCGAUGUGAAAGGCUUGACAGCAGUGGCAUGGAGAGAAGAGGAAGAAAGAAGACUAAAUCAGAUGACACUGAAGGUGAAAUUCAAUGUUUUCUUACUAAGAUAUUUACAAUCUGUGUAGAAAUCCUUUUACCAGCUUUAUACCAUACAAACAAAAUAUUAUGACUAUAACCUCUGUGUGAAGAGGAAUAAGGAUACAACACAGCAUGCUGUAGGAGAAAUUCUUACAAAAUAUUGAGAGUUGCUAGCUCUCUGAAGAAUUACGAACCUAGUGUGAUGAAUCAAGUUCCUUUAUUCAUGCAGCAUUGAGAGAAGACCACAGCAUAGAUGUUCUCUCCUGACUUCCAGAAUGAUCUCAGUUAAAUACCAUCCAGUACAUCCAAGAACCCCUGGUCACUUAUUAACAGUACCCCUGUAAAUCACAUGCGAAGGUUUUAGGUCUUCAAUACAAAUGGUCCUUUGAUCUGACCAUGUGACUGUAAACACAUUCUUACCAGAUGUCCUCCUACCAUAAAAUCAUUAACCCCCUAAACAACAAAAUACAUUUAUCUAAAACAUUAAUCUCCCACAAUGCGAUAUCACACCCGCACGUGGCCUGACUGACAGAAUACACCUCUAUUCACGCCUAGGCAGAUGACCUGUGGUAAUGUAACGUGGCCCUGCUACCCAUGUAAACAACAGUCAUUGCAGUUAUUCCUCAGUUUAAUAGCUGCUCUUCACAAAGCCCAGUGUUGUACCUUGUUUCUCUACUUCAGGGAACAGAAGCAUAAAAUAUAAAAUAUGGGAAAUGUUCAUAUUAUAAUAUUCAUGCCCUUCAGAGCAGCCACAGAAUCAGUCCAACCUCCAGCACUCUCGUGCAUCAUAGACCCAGAAGAAAGGUCAGAAUGAGCCACUGAAGAUGUCACAUCCAAACGCUAAAACCAAGCAAAAGUGUGCGGUCAUGACCACCUAGCUGCAGCACAGAUCACUGACAGAUACCCCUUUAAAAAAAAGCCAAUGGUGUUGCCAUGCCCCUGAUCAAAUGUGCCCUCGCAGCAUGAGGCAACACAAUCCAAUCCAAUCCAAUCCAACUUUAUUUGUUAAGCACUUUAAAAACAACCGAAGUUGACCAAAGUGCUGUACAGGAGAAUAAAUAGGACAUCAUAAAUGUAAAAAGAAGAAGACCUCUGUUGCUGUAAUCCAGGGCAAGAGCCUACGCAUUGUAGUGAAAAAUCUACUGUUUAUGUAGCGCAGCACUUUGCCCCUAGCCGGAUUAGCAAAACAGACAAACAAAGCUUAAAAGCCACAAAGCUAUAGGCUGCAGGGAUAACCUUGGGUCAAUACAGCACAUUUAGGUGCAACGUAACCUUGGAGCCAUCUGAACUAGGUACAAGAGGGAUGCACAGAUAAAGCAUGAAGGUGGCCCAACCACUUUGCAGAGGUCAAAAGGAGAAGCAGUGCAGUCUUGUGUGAAAUAAUUUUAAGAUCCACAGACUCAGUGAGCUCAAAUGAGGGACGACAAAGAACCUCAAACACCAAAGCCAGCUUUAUAUCUAUAUACAUAAGAACUUUAAGUUGGCAAGAGCCUAUUGAAGAAACUGUUUGCUGCAGCAAGCUAGCUCAACUCGGCAAAGGUGUUGUCGGUGAAAGAACUGAAGGAUGAUGAUGUCGUGUUCAAAAUUAUCUUCAGGACAUAACACAAACAACUUCUCUCAGUUAAGAGGUUUAUUUAGAAUUGUAUAAUUAAAAUAUUACUUGUACAAGGAUCUUAUUGGAUUGAGAAGCCACAGGCAGCGGAGGUGCUGUUACUGUCUUUCCUCGCCCCAAAAAGAGUCAUGACCAAAGGUUACAUGAGGUUAUAUUUGAUUACAGUAAGCAAUGGGAUUGGUGGACUAUAUGAUGGGAGACAACCGUGGUUUAGACUUGGC